ACAGCCAAGUCGUGAGGCGGAGCUAAUCCCUUAAAGCCAUUCUCAGUUCGGAUUGUAGGCUGAAACUCGCCUACAUGAAGCUGGAGUUACUAGUAAUCGCAGAUCAGAAUGCUGCGGCGAAUGCGUUCCCGGGUCUUGUACACACCGCCCGUCACACCACGGAAGUUGGGGGCGCCCGAAGCCACUUAGCUAACCCUUUUGGGAAGCGAGUGUCGAAGGUGAAAUCAAUAACUGGGGUGAAGUCGUAACAAGGUAAC
rnacentral:rRNA from 1 species